rnacentral:ncRNA from 1 species
UCACACACACGUACAAGUUAAUCGAUUUUGCAGAUUACAGUCUAACAGAGAGUAACUGUACAGUCUUACAGAGUACUGUUACAAUAUUAUUAUUGUGUAAAAGUUGAUACGAUACCUCGAUGUUACGAUAUAUUUUCUUUCUUCCGAGGCAUAUCGUUUAAUCCAGGUUCCACUCGCUGUGUCAAGAGAACAAAAACCUGUAUAUGCUUUCCUGUUGCAAUAGAUAUGACGAGAGGUGGUCCAAAAGGACAAUACUACAACCUUAAAAAAGAAAAUAUUACAUCCUUCAGAAAGAAAUUAUAACAUCCUUCAAAAAUACUCUGGAUACCCAUGGAACCUAUGCGAAAAUAUGAACUUUAGAGAGACCAAUCACAAUGGGGCAAUUGUAGGGUAGUAACCAAUCAGUUUGCAUGAACUAUAGGGUGACCAAUCACAAUGGGGGAUUUCUAGCGUAACCAAUUAGCUUUCACCCUGAAAUCAGCUUGCCUGGAAAUAGGGUGUAAUGCUCGGUAAAGCACCACACUUCUUGUGGUGUCCGGUGCGCUCUCGACGGCCCUUAAAAAUUCGGGGAAGACAUUGAUUUCCGUGUCCGGUCGUACUCAUAACCGCAGCAGGUCUCCAAGGCGAGCAGCCUCUGGUUGAUAGAACAAUGUAGGUAAGGGAAGUCGGCAAAAUAGAUCCGUAACUUCGGGAAAAGGAUUGGCUCUAAGGGUUGGGUCUGUCGGACUGAGACUUGAAGCCAGUGGACCCGGCCCAGACUGGCCGAGGCCCAUCCGGGUCGAAGCUGGACCGGGAAGGGGCUGUUGGUGGAUUGGCCCAGCUAUGGUCGCGAGGCAAAUUCGGCAGGCAAUGAACAACCAAUUUAGAACUGGCAGUGACUAGGGGAAUCCGACUGUUUAAUUAAAACUGCAGGGCGACUUCGGCUCGAACGAAGUUACAGGGGUAAUAGACUGUGCUAGCGUCCCGUCUUGGCCCGACUGGUGCCAAUGUGUGUAUGCUAGUGUGCUUUUAAAGUCCACAUUUAUGUAUACAUACUCGCAAAGAUAGUUUGGCUAUCCGACGGAGUUUUAGACUAGCAAAAGGUCGCAUGCGUGAUCCGCACAAUUGGCAUCACGCUAGCCCGGUCGCAGCUCUAGAUCUCACAUGGAUCUAAGCUGUGGUUUAAAGCACUUCGUUCGAGUCGAA